rnacentral:rRNA from 1 species
UACGUAGGGGGCGAGCGUUGUCCGGAAUUAUUGUGCGUAAAGGGAUCGCAGGCGGUCUGAUAAGUCAGAUGUGAAAGACUAUGGCUUAACCAUGGUAAGCAUUUGAAACUGUCAGACUUGAGUUAAGGAGAGGAAAGUGGAAUUCCUAGUGUAGCGGUGAAAUGCGUAGAUAUUAGGAGGAAUACCAGUGGCGAAGGCGACUUUCUGGACUUAUACUGACGCUGAGGAACGAAAGCGUGGGGAGCAAACAGGAUUAGAUACCCGUGUA